AUUUUAUGAUGAUAUUCAUCCCAGUUCUGCUACUGAAGAUAAAUAUGUAGAGAGCUAAAUACCAAAACCCACUGAGAU